rnacentral:snRNA from 1 species
AUAUGUUUCUCAGCCUUUUGGCUAAGAUCAGGUACUAAACUGUUCUUAUUAGUUUAAUAUUUGAUCAAGUACCGAUUAUCAGUUUAAUAUUUGACAUGUGGGGCAUCACCUCACAUGAUAUUGACAAUUUUUUUGGGUGGACCCAUCAAGGUUGCUUGUUACCUGGACCUUCACACGUCAGCCCAAGUCGUUGCCCUAUAGCCCAGGCCUGGUACACCUA